rnacentral:rRNA from 1 species
GACGAACGCUGGCGGCGCACCUAAGACAUGCAAGUCGAACGGUCUCUUCCGCGUCGCAAGACGGGGGGGAGAGAGUGGCGGACGGGUGAGUAACACAUACGGGACCUGCCCUAGAGUGGGGGAUAGCCUGGGGAAACCGAGGGUAAGCCCGCGUACGCUCGCUGGCAUAGCGGCCAGGGAGGAAAUACCCUUUCAACGGGGGAGCUCUGGGAGGGGCGUGUGGCGGAUUAGCUAGUUGGGGGGGUAGAGGCCCACCAAGGCGACGAUCCGUAGCUGG